rnacentral:rRNA from 1 species
AUGAAAAAUGCUCAUGGAGAAAAUUGGGAAGAGGAGCACCCAGAUUUAGAUGGACAAAUCAUCUAUGAAGCAGCAGGUAGAAUGCCACAUGGCAGGCUGGGAAUUGCUAAUGAGUUAUUUAGCAAAGCAGAGAAGGCGAAGUUUAAGUCUAAAAGGGUGAUGGCCUCACAACCGGUGUGGUCUGCUAGGGAGGACCGUCUAGAAAGAGAGAACAAACAUUUGAAGCGGGAGAACAAGCGUCUUCGAGGCAUUGAGCUUGUUGUGCAGUCAUUGGCUGAGAAAGGGGGAGUGGACUUUGAUGGCAUAAUGCAAUCAGCUGCGGCUGACUUGAUUCGGAAGGCGGAAUUCGUAGGGGACGAGGUGAUGUGCAUCAAAGCGAACCUGAAAAGGGAAUGGGAAGCAGGACUGGAGGCAGUACCAGUCAUGGACAUGAUGAUGAGGAUGACUACUAUGGCAGCGAGGGAGAUGAUGACUAUGGCGAGGGUGGUCUAUAUGGUGAUGAGCAAUAUGAUUACUAUGGUGGUGAGGGAUAUAAUAAUGACUAUGAAGAUGAGGAAUAUAAUGAGUAUGGCAAUGAUAAUGAUGAUUGGCCAUAAAAGUCUAGUGAUCUUCCAGUCAUGCCAAAAUCAAGUUAUGUUAGAUGUUUGA